UACGAAGGGUGCAAGCGUUACUCGGAAUUACUGGGCGUAAAGCGCGUGUAGGUGGAUUGGUGUGUCAGAUGUGAAAUCCCUGGGCUCAACCCAGGAACUGCACCUGAAACUACCAGUCUUAAGUGAUGGAGAGGGAAGUGGAAUUCCUGGUGUAGAGGUGAAAUUCGUAGAUAUCAGGAGGAACACCAGUGGCGAAGGCGGCUUCCUGGACAUCAACUGACGCUGAGACGCGAAAGCGUGGGGAGCAAACAGG
rnacentral:rRNA from 1 species